UAGGGAAUCUUCGGCAAUGGGGGGAACCCUGACCGAGCAACGCCGCGUGAGUGAAGAAGGUUUUCGGAUCGUAAAGCUCUGUUGUUAAGGAAGAACGAGUGUGAGAAUGGAAAGUUCAUACUGUGACGGUACUUAACCAGAAAGGGACGGCUAACUACGUGCCAGCAGCCGCGGUAAUACGUAGGUCCCGAGCGUUGUCCGGAUUUAUUGGGCGUAAAGCGAGCGCAGGCGGUUAGAUAAGUCUGAAGUUAAAGGCAGUGGCUCAACCAUUGUAGGCUUUGGAAACUGUUUAACUUGAGUGCAGAAGGGGAGAGUGGAAUUCCAUGUGUAGCGGUGAAAUGCGUAGAUAUAUGGAAGAACACCGGUGGCGAAAGCGGCUCUCUGGUCUGUAACUGACGCUGAGGCUCGAAAGCGUGGGGAGCGAGCAGG
rnacentral:rRNA from 1 species